CUGCUGGGCUCCACAUUCUGGCCUCUGCCAUCACUUCGUAAACUAAGGGGAAAUGAUGACUGCCCGAAGGUUACAUCAAGCUUGGAAAUAAGCAUAGAACUUAUCAGUGAAAAGACACCGAGGAACCGGAAGAAUAUCACCAGAAAUACAACAUACUAUAUGUGAAGAUGACAUGGUAUCAAAACAAUAAUGAUUUUCUAAUUCAACUGACUCAUGGGAGACAAACUACUUUUAAAGGAAGAAGUUGAAGAGUUUUGACAUGCAUGGUGAAUAAGACAAGUGAAUCUGAGGAGUAGGUUUGUUUUGCAUGGACUUCUGUAUAGCUCAACACUUCAGCUCAAAUAGACAGCAGACUAUGAAUGGUUGUUAUUAAAACUCUUGAUAAGAUAACUAGCAUA